AUAUCAAUAAGCGGAGGAAAAGAAACCAACAGGGAUUGCCCUAGUAACGGCGAGUGAAGCGGCAACAGCUCAAAUUUGAAAUCUGGCUUCGGCCCGAGUUGUAAUUUGCAGAGGAAGCUUUGGGCGCGGCACCGACCGAGUCCCCUGGAACGGGGCGCCAUAGAGGGUGAGAGCCCCGUAUGGUCGGACGCCUAGCCUGUGUAAAGCUCCUUCGACGAGUCGAGUAGUUUGGGAAUGCUGCUCAAAAUGGGNAGGUAAAUUUCUUCUAAAGCUAAAUANCCGGCCNAGAGACCGAUAGCGCACAAGUAGAGUGAUCGAAAGAUGAAAAGCANCUUUGAAAAGAGGGUUAAAUNNAGCACGNUGAAAUUGUUGAAAGGGAAGCGCUUNGCGACCAGACNGUGCGCCGGNGGUGCUCAGCGGGCGUUCUCGCCCGUGCACUCGCNNNNNNCCCGGCGCAGGCCAGCGUCGGUUUGGGUGGGGGGAUAAAGGCGUCUGGAAUGUGGCNNCUCCGGGAGUGUUAUAGCCAGGCGUGCCAUNNCUCCGCCUAGACCGAGGUACGCGUUCUGCAAGGACGCUGGCGUAAUGNUCUCCAGCGA
rnacentral:rRNA from 1 species